UUAGGAUGUCCGAAGGGGUUGGAGAGGAAUGUGGAUAUGUUUGUCUGAAGGUUUGAGACUGAUAAAGCUAUGUGAUCGGCGAUUAUAAUGAGCACGCAAUUUUUAUCGGCUAUAUGUAGCUCUUGAACACCGGAACGUUUAUGUAACAGCAAUAAUUAUAUAAGCGUCCCACUUUUGCAUGCAUGGCCACCAAAAACUAACUCGCUGUAACAGCGCUACGUAUCCUGCAUGUUGAGAAUGAGUCGAAAAUUGACACGCGUUAUUUAUAUAAAAGUAAAGUUUGCAGUUUUCGUUCGUAUAUAUAUUAAAGUUUGAAUUAUUCAAGUGUUAAAAAUAGUUAUUAAACUGUUGCUCGAAUUAAAAGACUGCUAUGUGAACUGAACUCAAAACAAUUUGUUUUAGUAUGUAAUCAAUAAAGCUUCCUUGCGAGGUGCGUGUCUAGAAAAUAGAACAUUUGGCUUUCAUAUUAAAGCGAGGUUAAGAAAUGCAGUAAUACUAAAAAAUGCAUUACAGUGCGUCUACAGUAAGUGGGGCCACUUAGAGAAC